CAAAACUUUCAACAACGGAUCUCUUGGUUCUGGCAUCGAUGAAGAACGCAGCAAAAUGCGAUAAGUAAUGUGAAUUGCAGAAUUCAGUGAAUCAUCGAAUCUUUGAACGCACAUUGCGCCCGCCAGUAUUCUGGCGGGCAUGCCUGUUCGAGCGUCAUU
rnacentral:rRNA from 1 species